rnacentral:lncRNA from 1 species
AUAUCUACAGGGGUAUGGAUUUUAAAGAUUACAUAGGACCCAGAAGUGGGGUAUACCUGAGAAUGUCCAGGUAACGAUUCCACAAUCCAGUCUAAGCACAUAGCAUAUCGAUCAGAGAGACAGGUAAAAACUGUUCUUAAUGACCUACUUGUAUCUUUAGCUUUGGUCUAAAAGAAAUUCUGGUGCUUUUUUGUUUCUAUCUCUAAACCACAUUCAGUGGUCUCAUUUGCUCAGCCCUUGUGGUCCAAAGUGCAGGAGCUGGAGAAGAACUCAACUACAGCAUCCCUGCCAACUCACAGGACUUGGGCCAGUCUGACAAUGUGAAGGUCACAGAGAGGAAGCGAGUACAGCAGGUUCAAGAUCUACUAGCAUAAGAAAGCUCCAAGCAUGACCAGUAGUCAAAGGACAGAAAACUGCAGUCUGAAGGGAUCAAAGAGGUACACGGAAGUGAUGUGGUGUCCUAGCUGGAUUGGAGCCUACGUUCUUAAGGACCCGCCCACCACCUUCUGGGAUAGCAGACUGAAAGCUUUUCCUGACUUGUUGCUGCUUCAAGGAUUGCUUCUGGUCUAUCAUACUGAACUUCCUCCAUCCUGAAGCUGGUGUAACUGUUCAGCUGCUCCUCCAGCCCAGGUGAGAGGAGCAGAUUCUGAGUUCCAGGUCCACGCUGUUGCAGAAUGCUGGGCAAUGCUAGGGUGUGCAGUCUUUAACAAACUAUUUAAUCCUGUUGAGUUUACAGUUCUUUGGUUAGUAAAUGAAGGGAACAAACUAGCUAACCUACAGAAUGCUGUCCAGUACACAGAUAUGUGUAUUUACUUUCAAUUGUACAAUUAUUGGUUUCUUUGGAGAAAUGUGGCUGUGGUGGGAUCUGCUGGUGUUAGUGAAUAACUGAACAUAGGAUAAUGGAAAGAAAUAACUGAGAAUGGCAAUGCCAUUGGCAUUAUGUUGUUUUCACUUUAAAUGUCUUGGAAAAAUGUGCACAGAAAUAAAGCUGAAAAUGAGAAUUUACAUGAGAUGUCUGUCUAUAUCUUAUGCCUACCCGUAUUGCGUUGCAAUCACAUGACGAUUGAUCCAUUCAGAUAAUUACCCUCAUUAUACUGUUUACAUUACGUGCCUCAUGUUUACUGCUCUGACAAUCUAUUAUAGGCAAGCAAAUUAAAUACCUAACGGGUGCUGGUAAACACACAAUAGGCACAUUUAUGGUUACUCUGUUCAGUUACAGAGACCAAAUUAAUUGAUGUGAUCCAACA